AUAUUUCCUAGUGACAGACCACCUUCUGGAAGGAAAUUAUUUUCCUCAGUAACCACUUGGCCACCACGUAGUAACCACUUUAAAUAAAACACAGGAUGUGGGGAAGUGAUAUAUUGCUUAUUUUGGAGCUUUUACAUGGAAACCGGCACCAGGCCCACCUAGUUCCCCACACGUACAAUCUCUUGACUUUCACGCACAUCAAAAAC
rnacentral:lncRNA from 1 species